GAACGCUAGCUACAGGCUUACACAUGCAAGUCGAGGGGCAGCGGGUUGAAAGCUUGCUUUCAAUGCCGGCGACCGGCGCACGGGUGCGUAACGCGUAUCAAACCUGCCUCAUACUCGGGGAUAGCCUUGCGAAAGUAAGAUUAAUACCCGAUGUUGUUGCUUUCUCGCAUGGGAGAGUAACCAAAGAUUCAUCGGUAUGAGAUGGUGAUGCGUCCGAUUAGGUAGUAGGCGGGGUAACGGCCCACCUAGCCUUCGAUCGGUAGGGGUUCUGAGAGGAAGGCCCCCCACACUGGAACUGAGACACGGUCCAGACUCCUACGGGAGGCAGCAGUGAGGAAUAUUGGUCAAUGGGCGAGAGCCUGAACCAGCCAAGUAGCGUGCAGGAUGACGGCCCUCCGGGUUGUAAACUGCUUUUAGUUGGGAAUAAAAAAAGGGACGUGUCCCUUCUUGUAUGUACCUUCAGAAAAAGGACCGGCUAAUUCCGUGCCAGCAGCCGCGGUAAUACGGAAGGUCCAGGCGUUAUCCGGAUUUAUUGGGUUUAAAGGGAGCGUAGGCGGAUUGUUAAGUCAGCGGUUAAAGGGUGUGGCUCAACCAUGCAUUGCCGUUGAAACUGGCGAUCUUGAGUGCAGACAGGGAUGCCGGAAUUCGUGGUGUAGCGGUGAAAUGCUUAGAUAUCACGAAGAACUCCGAUCGCGAAGGCAGGUGUCCGGGCUGCAACUGACGCUGAGGCUCGAAAGUGUGGGUAUCAAACAGGAUUAGAUACCCUGGUAGUCCACACAGUAAACGAUGUAUACUCGCGGUCUGCGAUAGACAGUAAGCCGCCAAGCGAAAGCAUUAAGUAUACCACCU
rnacentral:rRNA from 1 species